rnacentral:rRNA from 1 species
GACGAACGCUGGCGGCGUGCUUAACACAUGCAAGUCGAACGGUAAGGCCCUUCGGGGUACACGAGUGGCGAACGGGUGAGUAACACGUGGGUGAUCUGCCCUGCACUUCGGGAUAAGCCCGGGAAACCGGGGCUAAUACCGGAUAACAUUUUGAACCGCAUGGUUCGAAAUUCAAAGUCGGCUUCGGCUGUCACUUAUGGAUGGGCCCGCGUCGCAUCAGCUAGUUGGUGAGGUAACGGCUCACCAAGGCAACGAUGCGUAGCCGACCUGAGAGGGUGAUCGGCCACACUGGGACUGAGACACGGCCCAGACUCCUACGGGAGGCAGCAGUGGGGAAGAUUGCACAAUGGGCGCAAGCCUGAUGCAGCAACGCCGCGUGAGGGAUGACGGCCUUCGGGUUGUAAACCUCUUUAGUAGGGAAGAAGCGAAAGUGACGGUACCUGCAGAAAAAGCACCGGCUAACUACGUGCCAGCAGCCGCAGUAA